CCUACGGGAGGCAGCAGUGGGGAAUAUUGGACAAUGGGCGCAAGCCUGAUCCAGCCAUGCCGCGUGAGUGAAGAAGGCCUUGGGGUUGUAAAGCUCUUUCACCGGUGAAGAUAAUGACGGUAACCGGAGAAGAAGCCCCGGCUAACUUCGUGCCAGCAGCCGCGGUAAUACGAAGGGGGCUAGCGUUGUUCGGAAUUACUGGGCGUAAAGCGCGCGUAGGCGGAUAGAUAAGUCAGAGGUGAAAUCCCGGGGCUCAACCCCGGAAUUGCCUUUGAUACUGUUUAUCUUGAGUGCAGGAGAGGUAAGUGGAAUUCCGAGUGUAGAGGUGAAAUUCGUAGAUAUUCGGAGGAACACCAGUGGCGAAGGCGGCUUACUGGUCUGCAACUGACGCUGAGGCGCGAAAGCGUGGGGAGCGAACAGGAUUAGAUACCCUCGUAGUC
rnacentral:rRNA from 1 species